rnacentral:rRNA from 1 species
UACGUAGGGAGCAAGCGUUGUCCGGAAUCAUUGGGCGUAAAGCGCGCGUAGGUGGCCUCAUAAGUCCGCUGUGAAAGUCAAAGGCUCAACCUUUGAAAGCCGGUGGAUACUGUGAGGCUAGAGUACGGAAGAGGCGAGUGGAACUCCUGGUGUAGCGGUGGAAUGCGCAGAUAUCAGGAGGAACACCAAUAGCGAAGGCAGCUCGCUGGGACGUUACUGACACUGAGGCGCGAAAGCGUGGGGAGCAAACAGG